GAUGAACGCUGGCGGCGUGCCUAAUACAUGCAAGUCGAGCGAACAGACGAGGAGCUUGCUCCUCUGACGUUAGCGGCGGACGGGUGAGUAACACGUGGAUAACCUACCUAUAAGACUGGGAUAACUUCGGGAAACCGGAGCUAAUACCGGAUAAUAUAUUGAACCGCAUGGUUCAAUAGUGAAAGACGGUUUUGCUGUCACUUAUAGAUGGAUCCGCGCCGCAUUAGCUAGUUGGUAAGGUAACGGCUUACCAAGGCAACGAUGCGUAGCCGACCUGAGAGGGUGAUCGGCCACACCGGAACUGAGACACGGUCCAGACUCCUACGGGAGGCAGCAGUAGGGAAUCUUCCGCAAUGGGCGAAAGCCUGACGGAGCAACGCCGCGUGAGUGGUGAAGGUCUUCGGAUCGUAAAACUCUGUUAUUAGGGAAGAACAAAUGUGUAAGUAACUAUGCACGUCUUGACGGUACCUAAUCAGAAAGCCACGGCUAACUACGUG
rnacentral:rRNA from 1 species